rnacentral:rRNA from 1 species
UACGUAGGGUGCAAGCGUUGUCCGGAAUUAUUGGGCGUAAAGAGCUCGUAGGCGGUUUGUCGCGUCUGCUGUGAAAACUCGGGGCUCAACUCCGAGCUUGCAGUGGGUACGGGCAGACUAGAGUGCGGUAGGGGAGACUGGAAUUCCUGGUGUAGCGGUGGAAUGCGCAGAUAUCAGGAGGAACACCGGUGGCGAAGGCGGGUCUCUGGGCCGUAACUGACGCUGAGGAGCGAAAGCAUGGGGAGCGAACAGG